UCACACAUCUUGUUGUUUGAUUAUUGAUUAUUGAUUUUUGGCGAAACCAUUUGAUCACAUGACAAGAUGUGUUUCUA
rnacentral:antisense_RNA from 21 species